GGAAGGAUCAUUAACACGUAUCCACGUAUCAACCAACCGCGAACUUGUUUUCAACUCUCCCUAAGGGGCACAUGAAUUGGAUUGAAUAGGGGAUUGAGUGGGGCUUUCUUUUUUCGAAAAGGAGGUUGACUCUGUUCAAUUAACUGAGUGGAUAUUUAUUUAUUGCUCGACAAUUGUAGUGCUCUGAAGGCUUCAUUACUAGGGUCUCCAUUCAAGAUUCUGGUAGUGGAAAAACAAAUAUAUAACUAUAUUAACCCCCUUUUUGCUAGUUGACUUUAUUAUGUUGUUAUUAUUCCGAUUAAUUUCUGGGGUAAUUUCACACGUUUGAUUUAUUUAAACGACAAAAACAACUCUUAGCAAUGGAUAUCUUGGUUCUCGCAACGAUGAAGAACGCAGCGAAAUGCGAUACGUAAUGCGAAUUGCAGAAUUCAGUGAAUCAUCAAAUCUUUGAACGCAAAUUGCGCUCUUGGGUAGCCCUAGGAGCACGCCUCUCUCAGUAUCGGUUCAACAACCUCUCAGCAGCGUCUGUUUGAUUGAAUUUAUUCCUUCUUAUGGUCGUGUCGGCUGGAAAAUGAGAGUCUGUGUGCUUGCACAUAGUCUCUUUAAAUUUAUUGAGUGAGCAUUAUAAACUGAUCAGCUUGUCUUUCGAGGCAAUAGCAGUCUUCCGACUGUUGCUUAUUAGUAACGUGAAUACUGGUCUCCGGAUCUUUUCUACGUCUAUCUUGUAAGUGACAAAUUAAAGUUGGUUGAUUCGCGAACGUUUGGUUUAUUUUGUUCAUGUAUCGUGUGCAAACACAAUAGAAUAUUUGAGUGGAAUUGAUUCCGACUUUAUUGUCCUUUCUUUUUUUCUUGAGUAUUCUGAAUUUUGAUCUGAGAUGAAGCGAGACAACCCCCUGAAUUUAAGCAUAUUAAUAAGGGGAGGAAAAGAAACUAACAAGGAUUCCCCCAGUAACGGCGAGUGAAGCGGGAAGAGCUCAAUUUGAAAAUCGAUUACCUAAGCGGGUCAUCGAAUUGUAGCCUAGAGACGUACUAUCAGCUGAAACCUGGGUAUAAGUUCUUUGGAAUGAGGCAUCAUAGAGGGUGAGAAUCCCGUAUAUGACCCAAAGCUUUCAGCGUACGAUGUAUGUUCUUCGAGUCGAGUUGUUUGGGAUUGCAGCUCUAAAUGGGUCGUAAGUUUGAUCUAAAGCUAAAUAAUGGCGAGAGACCGAUAGCGAACAAGUACCGUGAGGGAAAGAUGAAAAGAACUUUGAAAAGAGAGUUAAAAGUACUUGAAAUUGCUAAGAGGGAAGCGCUGACAACCAGUGAUAUACGAUGUUCAUCGCUAUCAGCUCCUGGUGGUGUCGUUUGCAGUUGGUUAAACUCUGCUUGCGGCUUCGAAAGGGAAGUUGGUGGUUUAGAAUAUUGUGUCAGUCAAGAUCCAUUUGAAUUGUGGGAGAAGGUAGGAGGAAAGGUAGGAGACUCCGGUCUCUGUUAUAGUCCUCUUACUCUACCUCGGCUUAGAUGGAGGAAGGAAUAGUGCGCCGUUUUCGGCUUAGUCCCAUGCUCCUAUUGUCCCAGCUGUCUUGAUAGCAAUGCUAUCCUGAUGGUAAACGGCUUUACUGGGUAUGGUGACUCUUUGUGCUAUCACGAUCUUGUACGAAAUGGUUGUCAUCGACCCGUCUUGAAACACGGACCAAGGAGUCUAACAUCUAUGCGAGUAUUUGAGUGAAAAACUCUGAUGCGCAAUGAAAGUAAAGGUAGCUUCGGCUGCUGAGGUAGGAAUCCGGUCAAACGGAGGCACUAUCGACCGAUCAUCACUUGUGAAAGAUUUGAGUAAGAGCAUAUCUGUUGGGACCCGAAAGAUGGUGAUCUAUGCCUGAACAGGGUGAAGCCAGGGGAAACUCUGGUGGAGGCUCGUAGCGAUACUGACGUGCAAAUCGUUCGUCUGAUUUGGGUAUAGGGGCGAAAGACUAAUCGAACCAUCUAGUAGCUGGUUCCCUC
rnacentral:misc_RNA from 1 species